UACGGGGGGGGCAAGCGUUGUUCGGAAUUACUGGGCGUAAAGGGUUCGUAGGUGGCCAACUAAGUCAGACGUGAAAUCCCUCAGCUUAACUGGGGAACUGCAUCUGAUACUGGUUGGCUUGAGUGCAGGAGAGGAACGCGGAAUUCCAGGUGUAGCGGUGAAAUGCGUAGAUAUCUGGAGGAACACCGGUGGCGAAGGCGGCGUUCUGGACUGCAACUGACACUGAGGAACGAAAGCCAGGGGAGCAAACAGG
rnacentral:rRNA from 1 species